rnacentral:rRNA from 1 species
UACGUAGGGUCCGAGCGUUGUCCGGAAUUAUUGGGCGUAAAGGGCUCGUAGGCGGUUUGUCACGUCGGGAGUGAAAACUCAGGGCUUAACCCUGAGCCUGCUUCCGAUACGGGCAGACUAGAGGUAUGCAGGGGAGAAUGGAAUUCCUGGUGUAGCGGUGAAAUGCGCAGAUAUCAGGAGGAACACCAGUGGCGAAGGCGGUUCUCUGGGCAUUACCUGACGCUGAGGAGCGAAAGUGUGGGGAGCGAACAGG